AUCAAACAGCAUUCGGAGAGGCAAUCGGAUAUGCCCGUGCUUUGGGAGUUGUGAUGGGGGUUGGUGUGCAAACAGAUUUUGACAACACCAGCUCUUGCUAAGUUUGGAAGUGACUACCUAAAGAGAGAGUUCUUGGUUCCAAGUAUUGCUGGAGAUGUAGUUUAGUUGCUUGGGGUCAGUGAGCCAAAUGCAGGGUCAGAUGUGGCUGGGCUGAUGACCACUGCUCGUCGUCAAGGAGAUGACCUGAUCAUCAAUGGUCAGAAGCUGUGGAUUACAAAUGCCUGGUCUGCUGACUGGAUGUGUCUACUGUGUAACACAAAUCAGGGACCUCCCCACAAGAAUAAAUCCCUUGUAAUUGUCCCCAUGAAGUCACCAGGUGUUCAUCUAACAAAACUCAUUGAUAAACUGGGUAUGCGGAGCUCUGAUACGGGCCAAAUUUUCUUUGAUGAAGUUCGUGUUCCUGCAAAAAUAUCAUUGGAGAGG